UUCCUUCUAGAUAAUUUUUUUUAACAAUAGUAGAACUCUAAUUCCAUUAAAACUUGUGUCGCCAACUUACAACCAAAAAUCUAUCUUCCAAGACUCCUACUUUAAUGCCCAACAGGUGCAAUACAUAGAAUAAGAACCUUAAAAACUACCACUAGCUAAUGGCUCCAAUGCCAGGUCAGGAAACUGCAUUCCAAACAAGCAGCAACUACUACUAGUGCAAACAUGAAAACAUAAUACAAAGAAACAAAGAAAUUCCUAUCACAUCUAUCUGAACCUGGAGCGCUUGGCCAUGCUGCCACUAGGAGGGGCUCGAGACUUCCCAAGAUUCUUCAUUUUCCUUCUAUUCCUCUCCACCUCACU
rnacentral:misc_RNA from 1 species